AUGGUUGAGGAUGAUGAAUUGCCAAAAUCAUCCGGAAAAAGGAAACACUUUGAUGUAUGGGAUCACUUUGAGGAGGUUGAGGUGCUUUCAAAGAAGAAAAAAGGAGAAACAGAGAGAAAGGUUAAGUGCAAGGCUUGCAGCAAACUGUACAUGUACCCGAAGACUGGAACUACUACUACAAUGAAGAGGCAUCUGGAUGGCUGCUUUGCACAUCAUGGUGAGAAGAACAUCAAAAAAGGUCAAGGCACUCUGAAUUUUGAUGCGGCUAAUGCAUGUGGUAUUGAUCUUCCAGUAGUCAAUUUCUCUGGUGGCUAUGAUCAUGGAAAAAUUCGUGAGCUUAUUGCUACAAUGAUAAUUGUCCAUGAGUACCCUUUCCGCAUGGUCGAGCAUUUCUGGUUCAAUGUGCUCAUGAAGACUUUGAAUCCUUCUUAUCAGAAGACAUCAAGAACCACCAUCAAAAAUGAGUGUUUGCAGAUUUUUAAGUCCCGAAAGGAAACACUGAAGAAGGAACUUAAGCAUGUUGGCAAAAUUAGCCUCACAUGUGAUCUCUGGACCUCUAACCAAACUCUCUGUUAUAUGAGCUUGGUGGCACACUAUAUUGAUUCAGAAUGGAAUAUGCAGUACCGUGUGAUUAGUUUUCUUGAACUGGAGCCACCACACACAGGUAUUGUGAUAUCUCAGGCUAUAUUUGAGUGCCUUUCUGAUUGGAAGAUUGAAGACAAAAUUGCAACUAUAACUCUUGAUAAUGCUUCUUCCAAUGAGUGGCUGCUCGUCAACUGA
rnacentral:rRNA from 1 species